UCCUACGGGAGGCAGCAGUGAGGAAUAUUGGUCAAUGGAGGAAACUCUGAACCAGCCAUGCCGCGUGAAGGAUGACGGCCCUAUGGGUUGUAAACUUCUUUUAUAUGGGAGGAAACUUAUCUACGUGUAGAUAACUGACGGUACCAUACGAAUAAGGAUCGGCUAACUCCGUGCCAGCAGCCGCGGUAAU
rnacentral:rRNA from 1 species